rnacentral:rRNA from 1 species
AGAGUUUGAUCCUGGCUCAGGACGAACGCUGGCGGCGUGCUUAACACAUGCAAGUCGAACGCUGAAGCUUGGUGCUUGCACUGGGUGGAUGAGUGGCGAACGGGUGAGUAAUACGUGAGUAACCUGCCCUUGACUCUGGGAUAAGCCUGGGAAACUGGGUCUAAUACUGGAUACGACAUGUCACCGCAUGGUGGUGUGUGGAAAGGGUUUUACUGGUUUUGGAUGGGCUCACGGCCUAUCAGCUUGUUGGUGGGGUAAUGGCUCACCAAGGCGACGACGGGUAGCCGGCCUGAGAGGGUGACCGGCCACACUGGGACUGAGACACGGCCCAGUCUCCUACGGGAGGCAGCAGUGGGAAUAUUGCACAAUGGGCGAAAGCCUGAUGCAGCGACGCCGCGUGAGGGAUGACGGCCUUCGGGUUGUAAACCUCUUUCACCAGGGACGAAGCUAACGUGACGGUACCUGGAGAAGAAGCACCGGCUAACUACGUGCCAGCAGCCGCGGUAAUACGUAGGGCGCAAGCGUUGUCCGGAAUUAUUGGGCGUAAAGAGCUUGUAGGCGGUCUGUCGCGUCUGCUGUGAAAGACCGGGGCUUAACUCCGGUUCUGCAGUGGGUACGGGCAGACUAGAGUGUGGUAGGGGAGACUGGAAUUCCUGGUGUAGCGGUGAAAUGCGCAGAUAUCAGGAGGAACACCGAUGGCGAAGGCAGGUCUCUGGGCCAUUACUGACGCUGAGAAGCGAAAGCAUGGGGAGCGAACAGGAUUAGAUACCCUGGUAGUCCACGCCGUAAACGAUG